GGUCUGGAAGCCGGGGAGUUGUCGGUGUGGGGUCGGAAAGCUGGAGGGGGUGUGAGAGCGAGGGUGUCAGUGGAAGGGUCUAUGUUAUCAAGGCAGUGUCCAGGAUGGAGGUCAGGGCAGAAUCCAGGAGUGGGUGAGAGGACAGUCCUUGGCGCACUCGGGACAUCUGGCUGGGCGGAGUCAGAUCGGCUUUAAUAGAGGGAGCCUGAGGAGGCUCCCGGGGUGCGGGCGCGGCCCAGCCCCCUCCUACUUGGCUGCGGCUGGCGGUGGGGCCUGGGCCGACGCUGGUGCGGCCUGGAUGGACAGGACGCCCUCGGGGGACAGCGCGGACGUCACGGCAGCCGGAUCCACGCCAGGCGGCAGGCGGUAGCGACGGUGGAACUCGCGCGCGACGAGCCGCGGCUCACCGGGCGCUCCUCGUGGCGCGCGUGCACCUCCACGUGUUCGCCCACCACCUUGACAGCAAUUUCCUCCGGCGAGAAGUGCUUCACGUCUAGCAGCACCGAAAAGCCUGGCACCUGGGCGACGGGCAGCGCCACGCUGGGUGCGCGCAGGUAGUAGGGGGCGAGCGUGGUGGGGCAGAGCGCAGCCAGCUCGGCCUCCAGCAGCCCCUCGCCGAAGCGCUGGUCAAAGAGGCGUCCGGGCGCCGAAAGUCCGGGCAACGGGGCCGAGGCGCGGCGCAGCCAAGACGGCUGCACAGGCACAGGGAUCUCCAUC
rnacentral:lncRNA from 1 species